rnacentral:rRNA from 1 species
AUUCGAUUAGAGUUUGAUCAUGGCUCAGAACGUACGCUGGCGGCACGCCUAACACAUGCAAGUCGAACGAAGUAGCAAUACUUAGUGGCAGACGGGUGAGUAACAUGUGGGUAUCUGCCCUUUGGCCUGGAAUAACACGAGGAAACUUGUGCUAAUACUGGAUAAGUCUUUACGGAGAAAGCUUUAUGCACCAUUGGAUGAGCCCGCACUUGAUUAGUUUGUUGGUGGGGUAAUGGCCUACCAAGACUGUGAUCAAUAGCUGAUUUGAGAGGAUGAUCAGCCACAUUGGGACUGAGACACGGCCCAAACUCCUACGGGAGGCAGCAGUGGGGAAUCUUGCACAAUGGAGGAAACUCUGAUGCAGCGAUGCCGCGUGAGUGAAGAAGGCCUUUGGGUUGUAAAGCUCUUUCGUCGGGGAAGAAAAUGACUGUACCCGAAUAAGAAGGUCCGGCUAACUUCGUGCCAGCAGCCGCGGUAAUACGAAGGGACCUAGCGUAGUUCGGAAUUACUGGGCUUAAAGAGUUCGUAGGUGGUUGAAAAAGUUGGUGGUGAAAUCCCAGAGCUUAACUCUGGAACUGCCAUCAAAACUUUUCAGCUAGAGUUUGAUAGAGGAAAGCAGAAUUUCUAGUGUAGAGGUGAAAUUCGUAGAUAUUAGAAAGAAUACCAAUUGCGAAGGCAGCUUUCUGGAUCAUUACUGACACUGAGGAACGAAAGCAUGGGUAGCGAAGAGGAUUAGAUACCCUCGUAGUCCAUGCCGUAAACGAUGUGUGUUAGACGUUGGAAAUUUAUUUUCAGUGUCGCAGCGAAAGCGAUAAACACACCGCCUGGGGAGUACGACCGCAAGGUUAAAACUCAAAUGAAUUGACGGGGACCCGCACAAGUAGUGGAGCAUGUGGUUUAAUUCGAAGAUACGCGCAGAACCUUACCAACACUUGACAUGUUCGUCGCGACUUUAAGAGAUUAAAGUUUUCGGUUCGGCCGGACGAAACACAGGUGCUGCAUGGCUGUCGUCAGCUCGUGUCGUGAGAUGUUGGGUUAAGUCCCGCAACGAGCGCAACCCUCACUUUUAGUUGCCAUCAUUAAGUUGGGCACUCUGAAAGAACUGCCAGUGAUAAGCUGGAGGAAGGUGGGGAUGACGUCAAGUCCUCAUGGCCCUUACGUGUUGGGCUACACACGUGCUACAAUGGUAUCUACAACAGGAAGCGAAACAGCGAUGUUAAGCAAAUCCUUAAAAGAUACCUCAGUUCGGAUUGCACUCUGCAACUCGAGUGCAUGAAGCUGGAAUUACUAGUAAUCGUGGAUCAGCGUGCCACGGUGAAUGCGUUCCCUGGGUCUUGUACACACCGCCCGUAAUC